rnacentral:rRNA from 1 species
GACGAACGCUGGCGGCGUGCUUAACACAUGCAAGUCGAACGGAAAGGCCCUGCUUUUGUGGGGUGCUCGAGUGGCGAACGGGUGAGUAACACGUGAGUGACCUGCCCUUGACUUUGGGAUAACUUCAGGAAACUGGGGCUAAUACCGGAUAGGAGCUCCUGCUGCAUGGUGGGGGUUGGAAAGUUUCGGCGGUUGGGGAUGGACUCGCGGCUUAUCAGCUUGUUGGUGGGGUAGUGGCUUACCGAGGCUUUGACGGGUAGCCGGCCUGAGAGGGUGACCGGCCACAUUGGGACUGAGAUACGGCCCAGACUCCUACGGGAGGCAGCAGUGGGGAAUAUUGCACAAUGGGCGGAAGCCUGAUGCAGCAACGCCGCGUGCGGGAUGACGGCCUUCGGGUUGUAAACCGCUUUCGCCUGUGACGAAGCGUGAGUGACGGUAAUGGGUAAAGAAGCACCGGCUAACUACGUG